GAAAAGAACGAGUAAAGAUGUAACGAAAGUAUUCAUUGUUUCUUGUUGGAUUUGCGUUCGGAUAUUUCGAUGCUUUUUUCUUAAUUUUGUGAGUAACUCUCUUUGUAUUGAAAAAUGUUUGACCAACAAAGACAUCAGCC
rnacentral:ribozyme from 14 species